UACGUAGGGUGCGAGCGUUAAUCGGAAUUACUGGGCGUAAAGCGUGCGCAGGCGGUUUUGUAAGUCAGAUGUGAAAUCCCCGGGCCUAACCUGGGAACUGCAUUUGUGACUGCAUAGCUAGAGUUUGUCAGAGGGGGGUGGAAUUCCACGUGUAGCAGUGAAAUGCGUAGAUAUGUGGAGGAACACCGAUGGCGAAGGCAGCCCCCUGGGAUGUGACUGACGCUCAUGUACGAAAGCGUGGGGAGCAAACAGG
rnacentral:rRNA from 1 species